rnacentral:rRNA from 1 species
UACGUAGGUGGCAAGCGUUGUCCGGAUUUAUUGGGUUUAAAGGGUGCGUAGGCGGCCCUGUAAGUCAGUGCUGAAAUAUCCCGGCUUAACCGGGAGGGUGGCAUUGAUACUGCAGGGCUUGAGUACAGAUGAAGUAGGCGGAAUUGACGGUGUAGCGGUGAAAUGCAUAGAUAUCGUCAAGAACACCGAUAGCGAAGGCAGCUUACUAAGCUGUAACUGACGCUGAGGCACGAAAAGUGUGGGGGAUCAAACAGG